UGCAGUCGAGCGAGAAAUCUGUGAGUGAUCCUUCGGGUGAACGAUCAGAUGGAAAGCGGCAAACGGCGUAGUAAUACGUAGGUUACGUGCCCUCAGGACGGGAAUAGCCACGGGAAACUGUGGGUAAUGCCCGAUAAUAUCUUCGGAUCAAAUGGUGUGAUUCCGCCUGGGGAGCGGCUUACGCGGUAUUAGCUUGAUGGUGGGGUAACGGCCUACCAUGGCUGAGAUGCCUAGGGGGUGUGAGAGCAUGGCCCCCACGACUGGGACUGAGACACUGCCCAGACACCUACGGGUGGCUGCAGUCGAGAAUCUUCCGCAAUGGGCGCAAGCCUGACGGAGCGACGCCGCGUGCGGGACGAAGGCCCUUGGGUUGUAAACCGCUGUCAGAGGGGACGAAAUCCUUGGGGGCUAUCCCCCCUGGUUGACAGAGCCUCAGAGGAAGCACGGGCUAAGUACGUGCCAGCAGCCGCGGUAACACGUACUGUGCAAACGUUAUUCGGAAUCACUGGGCUUAAAGGGUGCGUAGGCGGUUUGACAAGUCAGGUGUGAAAGCUCUCGGCUCAACCGAGGAAUUGCGCUUGAAACUGUCAGACUUGAGUGCCAUAGGGGUGAGCGGAACUUCCAGUGGAGCGGUGAAAUGUGUUGAUAUUGGAAGGAACACCGUUGGCGAAAGCGGCUCACUGGGUGGCAACUGACGCUGAGGCACGAAAGCCAGGGUAGCGAACGGGAUUAGAUACCCCGGUAGUCCUGGCUGUAAACGAUGAGUACUAGUUGGGAGGAGGUUCGCCUCAUCCCGACGCAGCGAAAGCAUUAAGUACUNCGCCUGGGGNGUAUGGUCG
rnacentral:rRNA from 1 species